UUACCUUUGGAAUAAGUGUUAGAGUACAACACUGACCUAUUGCUUACUUUUGUUGCUAUAAACUUUUAUAAACAUAUCAGUUGGGUGGCUAGGAUUUCAUACCUUUUCAAGUUAUUUAAGGUAAGCAGCAGUGGAUGUUAUGAGGGUGCUGCCGUUCAUUUGUUGGGAAAUGUCUUCUUAGGUUGCAGCAAGAAUCAUAUUCGCACAAUAUUGGAAAAAUGAAGAAAUACCACCACAG